AUUGAACGCUGGCGGCAGGCCUAACACAUGCAAGUCGAACGAGUGGCGGACGGGUGAGUAAUGUCUGGGAAACUGCCCGCUGGAGGGGGAUAACCACUGGAAACGGUAGCUAAUACCGCAUACCAUCGGAUGUGCACAGAUGGGAUUAGCUAGUAGGUGGGGUAACGGCUCACCUAGGCGCCGAUCCCUGGCUGGUCUGAGAGGAUGACCAGCCACACUGGAACUGAGACACGGUCCAGACUCAUACGGGAGGCAGCGGUGGGGAAUAUUGCACAAUGGGGGCAAGCCUGAUGCAGCAAUGCGGGGUGUAUGAAGAAGGCCUUCGGGUUGUAAAGUACUUUCAGCGAGGAGGCGUUACUCGCAGAGGAAGCACCGGCUAACUCCGGGCCAACAGCCGCGGUAAUAG
rnacentral:rRNA from 1 species